rnacentral:lncRNA from 1 species
ACCUGCCCGCCGUCCGACCGAGUGACCACGUCCGUGGAAGUGGAGAAGACACGGCCAGAGAUAUACCAGCUCUUUGGCUACGGAGACGUGGUAGGAAAGCCUCUGUCUGGGGGAGAAGCCAGGAUGAUGGGGCAGAAACGAGACGCUAAUCUUUAUUGUCAUUGUCCCGUACAGAACAAGAAAAUUGAAAAAUCUACGUAAGACAUUCAAAACCCAACAAGCCUGCUAUCCCAGCUAUCCCAGCCUGGUUAGCCCCCUAAAAACUCUGAUACCCCAUAAUUAAAUACAAUAUACUCCCACAGAGACUACCUUACACUGCGUUUAACACCAAAAUCGCAUUUGAGUAGAAACUGUUUCUCAGGCAGGUCUUUAUAACCCUGUACCUUCUUCCAGAAGGCAGAAGCUGAAAGAGAUCAUUUCCGGGGUGCGCACUAUCCUGCGCUAUCUCUGCAGCUUUCUUAUGGCGCCUGGAAGCAUAGAUUUGAUCCAAGGUGGGAAGAGUGCACCCAAUUAUUCUCUCC